rnacentral:misc_RNA from 1 species
UAUCAUUUUUCAAGCCUAGCUUGUUGUUGGAUCUAGGUCUUGCUUUAGGUAUGAUUGGUUUUAAAGAUAAUGAUGGUGUCUGUGAGGAUCCCAGUACACUGAGCUUUCUAAGCACGUAUUAGGUGGAAAUCCAGGCCCGGUCUUACUUAUAUUUUAACAAGGUUGACCUCGGAUCAGGUAGGAAUACCCGCUGAACUUAA